rnacentral:misc_RNA from 1 species
GAAAUGCGAUAAGUAAUGUGAAUUGCAGAAUUCAGUGAAUCAUCGAAUCUUUGAACGCACAUUGCGCCCGCCAGCACUCUGGCGGGCAUGCCUGUCCGAGCGUCAUUUCAACCCUCAAGCGCCCACGGGUGCCUGGUGUUGGGGGCCGGCCGCCCGCGCCGCCCCCGAAAUGCAGUGGCGACCUCGCCGCAGCCUCCCCUGCGUAGUAGCACAACCUCGCACCGGAGCGCGGAGACGGUCACGCCGUGAAACGCCCAACUUCCUCAGGAGUUGACCUCGGAUCAGGUAGGAGUACCCGCUGAACUUAA